rnacentral:lncRNA from 1 species
UUCGUAGGAAGCUCGCCGGAAGACUUCCCGAGAAAUUGGCCGGAGGAUCGCCAAGUGAAAAAAAUGACAUACCGGACAAUGCUUGUCUUAAUCGUAGUUAGAAUGAUAAUUAGAGUUGAUUUGAGAGGUAAUCCCAUCAACUCUAUUAGGGACCAAUUGGGCUCGGAGCUAGGAUGGUUUGGGCCGAAUACAAAGCCCAAUUAGAUUGUUGGACUCUUACCAGCGGUGGCAUCGCUCGGGCCGGCGGUGGCACCGCUUGGAAGACCCAGUCUCCUAAGUGGUCUAGGCAGUGGUACCGCCUAGACUGGGUGGUGGUACCGCCCAGACUGGGUGGUGGUAUCGC